CCUAACUGCUCUCAAACAGGAAGAGAUCUCGUUUAUGCAGGUCCUGGGGGGAGGUGGCAGGGUCUGAUCGGAGCCUGGAGGUGGGCCACUGUAAGCCCCACCUGGACCUACAGCAAGCCCAGGGGGUCCAAGCAGGGCCAGGCUGUAUCUUUUUCCAUAAAGGAGAGCACACUGGGGCAGGCAGAUUCUUUACCAGCUGAGUCACAAGGGAAGCCCAAGAAUACUGGAGUGGGUAACCUAUCCCUUCUCCAGCGGAUCUUCCCAACCAAGGAAUCAAAUCGGGGUCUCCUGCAUCACAGGCAGAUUCUUUACCAAGUGAACUAUCAGGGAAGCCCAUUAUCAAUCAAGAAUAAAAAAGUAAAAUAUUUUAUUUUACUUUCGUUUAUUCCUUCUUAACGCUCUUCCUCUCUUGUGUGGAUGGGUUUUUAACCUAUAUCAUUUUCC
ensembl:lncRNA